GAAGAAAGUUGGAGGCGUGCUUAACACAUGCAAGUCGAACGGAAAGGCCCUGCUUUUGUGGGGUGCUCGAGUGGCGAACGGGUGAGUAACACGUGAGUAACCUGCCCUUGACUUUGGGAUAACUUCAGGAAACUGGGGCUAAUACCGGAUAGGAGCUCCUGCUGCAUGGUGGGGGUUGGAAAGUUUCGGCGGUUGGGGAUGGACUCGCGGCUUAUCAGCUUGUUGGUGGGGUAGUGGCUUACCAAGGCUUUGACGGGUAGCCGGCCUGAGAGGGUGACCGGCCACAUUGGGACUGAGAUACGGCCCAGACUCCUACGGGAGGCAGCAGUGGGGAAUAUUGCACAAUGGGCGGAAGCCUGAUGCAGCAACGCCGCGUGCGGGAUGACGGCCUUCGGGUUGUAAACCGCUUUCGCCUGUGACGAAGCGUGAGUGACGGUAAUGGGUAAAGAAGCACCGGCUAACUACGUG
rnacentral:rRNA from 1 species